AUUGAACGCUGGCGGCAGGCUUAACACAUGCAAGUCGAGCGGGGGAAGGUAGCUUGCUACCGGACCUAGCGGCGGACGGGUGAGUAAUGCUUAGGAAUCUGCCUAUUAGUGGGGGACAACAUCUCGAAAGGGAUGCUAAUACCGCAUACGUCCUACGGGAGAAAGCAGGGGAUCAUCGGACCUUGCGCUAAUAGAUGAGCCUAAGUCGGAUUAGCUAGUUGGUGGGGUAAAGGCCUACCAAGGCGACGAUCUGUAGCGGGUCUGAGAGGAUGAUCCGCCACACUGGGACUGAGACACGGCCCAGACUCCUACGGGAGGCAGCAGUGGGGAAGAUUGGACAAUGGGGGGAACCCUGAUCCAGCCAUGCCGCGGGUGUGAAGGAGGCCUUAUGGUUGUAAAGCACUUUAAGCGAGGAGGAGGCUACUUUAGUUAAUACCUAGAGAUAGUGGACGUUACUCGCAGAAUAAGCACCGGCUAACUCUGUGCCAGCCGCCGCCGUAA
rnacentral:rRNA from 1 species